rnacentral:rRNA from 1 species
AACGAACGCUGGCGGCAGGCUUAACACAUGCAAGUCGAACGAGAUCUUCGAAUCUAGUGGCAGACGGGUGAGGAACACGUGGGAACAUCCCUUUCAGUUCGGAAUAACGUUGGGAAACUAACGCUAAUACCGGAUACGUCCUUCGGGAGAAAGAUUUAUCGCUGAAAGAUUGGCCCGCGUCUGAUUAGCUAGUUGGUGAGGUAACGGCUCACCAAGGCUACGAUCAGUAGCUGAUCUGAGAGGAUGAUCAGCCACAUUGGGACUGAGACACGGCCCAAACUCCUACGGGAGGCAGCAGUGGGGAAUAUUGGACAAUGGGCGCAAGCCUGAUCCAGCCAUGCCGCGUGAGUGAUGAAGGCCUUCGGGUUGUAAAGCUCUUUUGUCCGGGAAGAUAAUGACUGUACCGGAAGAAUAAGCCCCGGCAAACUUCGUGCCAGCAGCCGCCGUAA